AAAAUCAAGCAUCUAUGGUAAUUUGAGGGUUUUUUUGCAUAUCAAAGAGUGGGAUUUGAUAGCAAACUAGAUAGGAUUUCUAUGAGCAUUGAUUUUGGGCGAUUUGGAUUUGUAAUGACUUUGUAAGAGCUUUACAAAGUCAAGUUUAUUUUUGGAUGACUUGGGUUUUGUGAAAUAAAAUAGGAUUGAUGUUUCAAGUGAUUUCAAGAGUUUUGUAUCAGAUCUACAAGUGAAAUUUUGUAGAUUAAUGGUCAUAGUUGUGCUUAAUAUGUGUUGUGAAUCUUAGCUUGAUCUAAUGGUUGAAUUGAGGAUUAUUGAGGUUUAAGUGGAUCAAGGUCUCACAAAGUAGAAUUUUAAGUCUAAUGAGAGUUUUUAAUCUACU
rnacentral:lncRNA from 1 species